rnacentral:lncRNA from 1 species
AAGUGUUUUCCAUAUGGACCUUCGUACAAAUAAUGAUACAGCAUAUAGUUAAUUAAUUCUUCCUUAAAUUACUCAUGAUGUGGUAUCAUGACUAAUUUCACACAAAACGGAAUGUACGGUUUCACUCAUUGAAGCGUCUUGAAGUUUUAAGGAUCUCCUUUAAAUAUAUUCAUUCGUUGAUUUAGGUUUUUUUUAAAUCAAUAUA